rnacentral:rRNA from 1 species
GGACUACCCGGGUAUCUAAUCCCGUUCGCUCCCCUGGCUUUCGCGUCUCAGCGUCAGUAAGAGCCCAGGACCUCGCUUUCGCCACGGGCGUUCCUUCCGAUCUCAACGCAUUUCACCGCUCCACCGGAAGUUCCAGGUCCCCCUACUCCCCUCCAGGCCAGUCGUAUCGGUGCCCGUUCCCCGGUUGAGCCGGGGGAUUUCAGCGCCCGACGUGCUGGCCCGCCUACACGCGCUUUAAGCCCAGUGAUUCCGAAUAACGUUCGCACGGUUCGUCUUACCGCGGCUGCUGGCAC